rnacentral:rRNA from 1 species
UACGGAGGGGGCUAGCGUUGUUCGGAAUUACUGGGCGUAAAGGGCUCGUAGGCGGCCAACUAAGUCGGACGUGAAAUCCCUCAGCUUAACUGGGGAACUGCGUCCGAUACUGGAUGGCUUGGAUUUGGGAGAGGGAUGCGGAAUUCCAGGUGUAGCGGUGAAAUGCGUAGAUAUCUGGAGGAACACCGGUGGCGAAGGCGGCUUCCUGGACCGACACUGACGCUGAGGCGCGAAAGCUAGGGGAGCAAACGGG